UACGUAGGUGGCAAGCGUUGUCCGGAAUUAUUGGGCGUAAAGCGCGCGCAGGCGGUCCUUUAAGUCUGAUGUGAAAGCCCACGGCUCAACCGUGGAGGGUCAUUGGAAACUGGGGGACUUGAGUGCAGAAGAGAAGAGUGGAAUUCCACGUGUAGCGGUGAAAUGCGUAGAGAUGUGGAGGAACACCAGUGGCGAAGGCGGCUCACUGGACCAUUACUGACGCUGAUGCUCGAAAGCUAGGGGAGCAAACAGG
rnacentral:rRNA from 1 species